GGCCCGGAUCCGCCUCUUCUCGGCCUCAACCGGAAGUUGCAGAAAAUGGGUAUGGCAGCCCUUCGUGGCCCGUUUUGGCCGCCUUCCCGAGCCCGGAUGCUCGGCCCGCUUUGAGGAAAGUUGUUCUCCUCCGCGUCCUCGUCGUUUUGGUCCGCUCGGCUCGCUAAUCCGGUCCCUGGUGGACGGAGCGGCCGGAUAGCUUUGGUUGGCCUUGAGGAGUUGGAGAUGUGAAGUCAUAAAGAUUGGAGAUCGUGUACGACUUGUAGGUCGUAGGAUAACCUCUUUUUAAGAGCCAGUCCUUUGUAGACUGUUGGCCGUAAACCCCUGUUUGUAAUUCUAUUGAAUUAUGUUUAAGUGUUAUGUUGUGGUUUUGCUUCC